ensembl:lncRNA
CAAAAAUAAUGUUUUAUUUUUUCAUUCACCAAGCAGUUUUUAGGUUUCAGGCUAUUUUUAACCAAAAUUUGUACAAAGAUGAUUCUCAUCUAUGGUAUAAAGGAUGUAACAGAAUGGUUUGAUAUACUACUGUACUUUAUGAAAUGUCCAUAAAUUGGUUUUCCCAUUCUAUACAAUGCAUCUAAAUUGCAUAUUGAUGUGUUCUUGGAGCAAACCAUAAUGAAAAAAAGUGUAAUAACUGGAGUAAUAACUUGGCAACAUUUUCAUAAGACAUUUCAACAUUUUCUUUCCCUAUUGACUCGUUGUGCCUCCCCAAAAUGCUUGCUUAACAUGCCGUUUGUCCUGGUGUCCUCAACAGAAGACAUGUAUGAAAGUUAUGCCCUGUUUUGUAACAAAAAGUCAUAUUCCGAUUCACAACAUUUUUCUGAGAUUUUUAUUUACAAUAAACAAUUUGAAAAUUAGGCAGAUUUAAAUGAUAAUUACAAAACAUUAUCAGAUUUCCCUAAGAGUGCUAAAUGUGAUCAUUCUGUCAAUAUCAGUCUUAUCUACAGUCCAAGGUGAGGGAGUGUUUAUGAUCAAACCUCCAAACAUCUGAUAUCUCUAAAAUGCGCCCUGAAUGCGCUCUGUACAGACUGUGGCAUGUAUAGUCUCAGAGAAAUUCACUAAAAUAUAAUGUCCUCUACAGAGUACAAAAGUAUAAAGGAGCAUAUUGUGACAUUUUCAAGACCUGGGGGAGGAUGGUGCGCUGCAGGUGUCACGUUGCAGAUUUAGUCCAGUAGGUGGCGAUACUGAAGCAGUUGAUUCUACAAACAAUACUAACAGCAAGAGAAGGAGAAUUUUAAGAUUCCGCGGCGAUGUUUGGUUUUAAAUAAGUAUAAACCGAUUUUAUUUGUAUGCCAAAUACUUGUUAUCCAAGUAGAAAUGCAUUUCAACAAGUAUAAAGAUAAACAUCAUCAAGAGUUGAGUUUGUCGUCUUCUUUUAUUACCGCUCCCAAUGAUAAAACGCUGAUAAUGGCGUCUAAAGAGAAGAAGGAAAACAUAAGAAAGGGCAAACAGACGGCAAAUGUCUACGCAGCGAAGAUAAAGACCAAGAUACACAAUACCUCAUCAUUCUUCAAGCUUUCUUUGAAAUGUAACAACAAGGCUCUGGCUCUGGCUCUGGUUGCUCAGAAGCAGAAGAGCAGAGAGCUGGAGGCAGAGGUGGUGCGACUGAGGAAAGAAGCGCAGACAGCUCAUUUUGAUCUUGCUCAGCAGCGUCAUAAAAACAAACAACUGUUUGCCAUUAUACAAGAGUUUUAUGGUUCUUCCCUUAACUGGAUGACAAAGGCGGUUGAUAUUUUUUGCAAUGAGGAGGAUCAAGACUCCGAACACAACACCAGUGAAGACCAAAUGAUUGAAAUAGAGAAAGAGGUUGGGAGUCUGCAAGACAAACCAUUGUGUCCACAGGAGGAUUAUGAGAGUCCUGAACCAGUGAAUACAGCCGUUGAUGAUCCCAGCCAAGAAAGAGACAGUCCAGCACAGCAAAACACCAUAUAUGACUCUGAAAUGGAGGUGACCGUUAGUGACAGUGCUGCUGAAAUAGUAACAGUUGAAACAAAUGCAAGAAGAACCUCUAGAGUUACAGAGGAACAUCAGGAAAAUAAGGAUUUGUGUCUGUCAGAAAAAGGUAGCAAGGUGUUAUUUACAAAGGUAGACUCUCCAGUUGAAUUUAGUAGAUCAGACUAUACAUCAGCUGUGUCAAAAGAGACGGCCGCUGUGACACAGCAGUGCUCUCUCACUGUUCAGAACGAGGUGGAGAAUGGCCAGCAGACAGAGUCAAUAACCGCACGCAGGAAGACUCACGUCACUUCUCGUUGUACUAAAAGUAGCAGACGUACAUGUAAACGGAAAGAACCAAACCCAGAUCCUAGAAAAACGUACUUUAUCUCCCAAGAUCCUCCUAAUGACAUUUUUAAGGAUUGUUUUAGUGAUCUCGAGCUUCAGAAUUCAGAAAGAAGCAAGGCAAUUGAACAUACUUCAAGUAAAACUGUUAAAAACAAAGCUAAAGAGUCCCAUGCUACCCAGGAACCCAGGAGACCAUUUAUAGUUCAAGAUGAGCUAAGACCUCAGAAGAGCAGGAAGACCAAAGUCUUGUCCCUUAUGAUGGAUCAAAGUUUAUCUGAUGUGCAUGAAAAUGUUCAGUCUGCCAGUACUUUAUGCUUGGAGUCUGCUGGUACUGAUGUGCAUAUCGGUGAGAACGCUGUUCAAAAACACAAAAACAAAACUGCAGCACACCCACUUCCUCAGUCUGAAAAGUGCGAGACACAGAAAAACAGAGGAACAUUUUUGAUACAGGCAAGUCAGUUAUUCAUCAACAGGUAUUCAUUUUUGAAUGAAACCAAUAAAUUAGAGGAUCCCAACAGACUGGAAGGUUUACAUGAAGUAAUAUCAGAAACCCAAACAACACCUCUCGAUAUUGAUUCAGAUAAUGUUGCACAAAAGCACAAGGAGCCAGAGCAUGAAUUUCACAAGAUAUUGACAGAAAACACCCAUCAUCCAGAAUGUUCACAAGAUGUGAAUACCAGCCUUGUACAGAAACCCUCUGAAUUUACGCCAUCAGUGACUGGUAAAGCCAAAAAACACAGAAAAGAGGGGGAAGACAAAAUAAAAAAGAAGAAUGCUGCAUCAAGAGAGAAACCCAAAGCAUUAACAAAGAAACAAAACAGUUGUUCUGUGAGUAUGGAUGAAAAUGUGUUGACUGGAAGGCAGGAUAUGAAUGAUCUUCAGAAUGGAGCAGGAGGCAGGUCUUUGUUUAAUACUUUACAGUUACCAGUAAUAUCUCACUGCUCACCCUCAGAGGUGGGCUUCGGGGAUGAAUGUAGUGCUGAAACCCUUGGAAUAAGCUCUGCUUCCUCUGUUGACAAGCUUGAUCAGGCUGACCAAAUUAACAUGGACUCUAUUAGCAUAAAUCUAGAUCAAACCAACCAAGAUCUCGAGGGCAGGUGCAGGAAAACAUAUGUUGUUUCAUCUUCAUAUAAAUCCCCCAUUAAGGAAAAGACUGACAGUGGAGCUUCCAGCGACAUUUCUGAACAUAAUCUUUUUACUAAUGAAAUGGAUGUUUCAUCUGUCAUGAACAGAAGCAUGUUUGUCAUGGAAAAAUAUGAUGUGACUUCAGAUGGUUUUAGUGGAAACUCAAAUAACCUGCAAUUCACAGAGGAGAGGCCUCCCUGGGAGACCCUCGAUGGUUACACUGAAGCACUCUCAGAUGAAAGCUCUGCCCAUAGCCCUCAACCAAAGACCCACUGUCAAACUAUGAACAUUUACCAGGACUCAGGCUUGAGGCACCAAGCUCCAGAAGAAGGCAGGUUUAUGACGAGUCUAACAAAUACAGAGCAUAACUCUGAUUUCGGGAGAACACGAAGAAGAGCAGCACCAGUCUCCUACAAAGAACCAGCUCUCAACUGCAAGAUAAGGCGUGGGGACAAAUACUCUGACACAAAAUUCUUAAACUCUCCGGUGUUCAAAGACAAAAAGAAGAAGAAAUGAACUUAGGAGUGAUUUACCCAUUUAUUGAUUAUUUUAGACUUUUAUUAGUUUUUUUUUCUUUAAUUUGUCUUUAUGUAAUGCAAAUGUUAGAUUGAUAUUAAAAUAUUAAAUAAUUUUAAUCACAGCUGUUAAUUUGCCUUUAUAGCUAAUUUUUGUAUAUAUAGGAAAUUUUGUUUUUAUUGUAUUGUUUUAAUGGUUAAUAAAGAGAACCCUUUGUGGCA